UUCUGGCUUCUGCACAGCUCUAGAAUGUUCUGGUUUGUCACUUGAUCCUGGGAAGACUGGGGUACAUGUUGUCUGAGGCUGGUUUGAAAGGCCCGUGUCUAAUGUGUGGGACACACCUGCCUUUGUACCCCAGAUCCUGUUCUUAAUCGGCUCCCCUGGGCCAAGUCAUUGAACCUCUCCUGACUGCACUGUGUCUUGUCCCUGGAAAGGAGAUAGUGACCGGCCUGGUGGACUGUGAAGACAGUCACAGAUGUCCCCAGCCCGAGGCUGGCAGAGGUGUCCCCCAUCUAGCUCAGACGGCCCUGGUCCUUGGGCUCUAGUUCCUCUGAGCCUCUCCCACCCUCUUAACAUCAUGUGACACCAGCACUAGAUGGACUGGAGCCCAUGGAAAAGAUGUGAGCCGUGGAGCCUCCUACCAGCAUGAACUUUGACCUGCUGCAUGCACCUUGACCCACAGCCAUUGGAAGCAGCCUGAUCCAGCUCCCACCACACUCCUGCCGACUCCCCAACCACCACGCUGUGUUCUAGGCAGCUGUCCAGGCCCCUCUCCCAGCCGGCACUGGCCUUGCUCUGGUUCCACCUGGCUCUUGCUCUGUGGCCUGGGAUUCUGGCCUUGGAGAGGGCCCUGUGUACUCUCCAGCUGGGCCAGACCUUUGGCUCUGAGCUGUGCCCACUCCUGAAGAGCCAAAUGCUUGUCCUGGUGUCAUGUGACCAAACUGUCUGAGACUUUUCAGCCAACACCAUCAUGCGCGGUCAUGAACAUAUGGAUACAAAGUCCAAAGUCGUCAUGGCUCUGGCAGAGAGAGGAACAUCAAACUGGGCCACCAUCCAGGGGUGUCACUUGCCAUUGUCUACAGCUCAGGCCUGGUGCCCAGUUGCUGGGAGAAAAGGCCAGAAAGGGCCUCACUUGUCCCUUCAGGUUUACAGUGAGGUGCUGGUUGAGCAGGGGCUUGGGGGUACCUGCAUUUGGUGAGGACAGAGACCAGGUGGGACUCCCCUGAUCACCAGCCCUCAGACAGAGAUACUCUUAGAGGGCUGUCCAUGUGGCUGUGAGGUCCCCCAAACUUUGCUCACCCAAGCUUGUGGAAGACCUGUCUGGGGGCCCUGCAGCAGUGGUGGUGGGGUGGUGUUGGAUGUAGAACUGCGUUGCCAUCAUCUUAAAUCAAAGUGAGUGAAAUAGAGAUGGAGAAUUCCUCUGAAGCAGGCCAGGAAGCUGAGCUGACCCUUCCCCAUCUUGAGGGACAUCUCUCCCCUCCCCCAGAUAGCACACCCUUUGGGGCUCCUUGGUGAGAUCAAGGGGCUGGAGGGGCAGAGGUGAAUCAGGUGGACACAGUUGCUGUCCUCUAGGAGUUUGCUGAAGUUAUAGAUCAGCAGCCCAACGACAGAACUCAAAGACAGCUUAUGCUUUGCAUGUUUGGAGCUCUGAGUAUGACCUCCAGAGGCAGAAAAAUAAUGUCACAGUACAGCAGGGGCUGACAGUGAAAUAUGGCAGGUGGGCACUCAGGGGCACUCGGUAGUGGGGGCUGUGGAGCUCUUAGGGUUUGUCUGAGAAAACUUCCCAGGAAAGCUGAAGGCUAAUGGGAGGCUGAUGCUUCAAACCAAGGAAACACUGGGUCUGAGGGAUUAGUGACCAGCGUGAGGUCACCACCCACUAUGAAGUGAGGGCCACUGAUGGCUUGAGCACUGAGGGUAGAUAGUGAGAGAAUGAGCAGGUAUGUGUGUCUGUGGAGGGGUGAUGACAGAGUUGACUUGUUGGUACUCACUUCCUCCUUCCUUUCCAGGCUCCUAUUCGCCUACAGUUUUUCGCCUGGG